rnacentral:tRNA from 1 species
GUAAGGUGGCCGAAUUUAAGCGGUGGUUUGUAGCUCCAUAGAUAGAGGUUAAAGCCCUCUUCUUACCA